GGUUACUACACUCGGAUUAGUACACUCGGAUUACUACACUCGGGUUAGUACACUCGGGUUAGUACACUCGGAUUACUACACUCGGAUUACUACACUCGGAUUACUACACUCGGAUUACUACACCGGGUUACUACACUCGGGUUACUACACUCGGAUUACUACACUCGGAUUACUACACUCAGAUUAAUACACUCAGAUUACUACACUCGGGUUACUACACUCAGAUUACUACACUCAGAUUACUACACUCAGAUUCUACACUCGGGUUACUACACUCGGGUUAGUUCACUCGGGUUAGUUCACUCGGGUUAGUACACUCAGAUUACUACACUUUGUGAAUUAAAGCUGUAUUGACUUGUCUUAGUGCUAAACAAUAUACAUCUGUAACUGGUAUGCUACAAAUGAUCAAUAAUAAUCAUCUGAUUCAAAACAA
ensembl:lncRNA